rnacentral:rRNA from 1 species
UACGUAGGGGGCUAGCGUUGCUCGGAAUCACUGGGCGUAAAGCGCACGUAGGCGGAUCUUUAAGUCAGGGGUGAAAUCCUGGAGCUCAACUCCAGAACUGCCUUUGAUACUGAGGAUCUUGAGUUCGGGAGAGGUGAGUGGAACUGCGAGUGUAGAGGUGAAAUUCGUAGAUAUUCGCAAGAACACCAGUGGCGAAGGCGGCUCACUGGCCCGGUACUGACGCUGAGGUGCGAAAGCGUGGGGAGCAAACAGG